AAGGAAUAUUGGGCAAUGGACGCAAGUCUGACCCAGCCAUGCCGCGUGCAGGAUGAAGGCCCUAUGGGUUGUAAACUGCUUUUGUACGGGAAGAAAUCCCCUGACGUGUCAGGGGUUGACGGUACCGUGCGAAUAAGCACCGGCUAACUCCGUGCCAGCAGCCGCGGUAAUACGGAGGGUGCAAGCGUUAUCCGGAUUCAUUGGGUUUAAAGGGUGCGCAGGCGGAAUGAUAAGUCAGUGGUGAAAUCCUACGGCUCAACUGUAGAACUGCCAUUGAUACUGUCAUUCUUGAGUAUAGUUGAAGUGGGUGGAAUGUAUCAUGUAGCGGUGAAAUGCAUAGAUAUGAUACAGAACUCCGAUAGCGAAGGCAACUCACUAAACUAAAACUGACGCUCAUGCACGAAAGCGUGGGGAGCAAAC
rnacentral:rRNA from 1 species